GAAUAUUGGACAAUGGGCGAAAGCCUGAUCCAGCCAUGCCGCGUGUGUGAAGAAGGUCUUCGGAUUGUAAAGCACUUUAAGUUGGGAGGAAGGGCAUUAACCUAAUACGUUAGUGUUUUGACGUUACCGACAGAAUAAGCACCGGCUAACUCUGUGCCAGCAGCCGCGGUAAUACAGAGGGUGCAAGCGUUAAUCGGAAUUACUGGGCGUAAAGCGCGCGUAGGUGGUUUGUUAAGUUGGAUGUGAAAGCCCCGGGCUCAACCUGGGAACUGCAUCCAAAACUGGCAAGCUAGAGUACGGUAGAGGGUGGUGGAAUUUCCGGUGUAGCGGUGAAAUGCGUAGAGAUCGGAAGGAACACCAGUGGCGAAGGCGACUGUCUGGGCUGAUACUGACGCUGAGGUGCGAAAGCGUGGGGAGCAAACAGG
rnacentral:rRNA from 1 species